GGUUGUCCCAUCAUACGCCGAGAAUGUCCGGCGUCUUGAUGACCAUGUUAAAAUGAAGGAACUGACUCAACACCUUUUAGAGGGAAAUGAUCUGAGAACUCGAACAAGGAACGACUCCACCACCACGCGUUCGACUCAAACAACAUUUAGAUAAAUUGUGCCAGAUGUUGGACUCAAACUGAAAUUUGAUUCCCUGUUUUUCUGGAACUUGCC
rnacentral:misc_RNA from 1 species